GCAAACUUGGUCAUUUAGAGGAAGUAAAAGUCGUAACAAGGUUUCCGUAGGUGAACCUGCGGAAGGAUCAUUAACAAUUGUCCACUUUACAAUGGAUAAUUAUAUCCAUAUCCACCUUGUGUGAAUCAUUGAAGCGUCUGUUGGCAGGUUAGGUUUACUCAUACUAUUUUGUAGUAGCCGUGGGUUAGACAUUGCGUCUGCUCGGCCUGCCAAUUUUAUUUGUAUAAACAUGUCUAUAAUAGUGUUGACUGAAAUAUUAUAUAUUAUAAUAAAUACAACUUUCAACAACGGAUCUCUUGGCUCUCGCAUCGAUGAAGAACGCAGC
rnacentral:misc_RNA from 1 species